ACAUACGAUCAUAGCUUGUAGAAAACACGGGAUCCCGUCCGCUCUCCCUUAGUUAAACUACAAAGCGCUGGAAUAGUACUACGGUGGGUGACCACGUGGGAAUUCCCAGUGUUGUAUGUA
rfam:Ceratocystis platani strain CFO contig_00028, whole genome shotgun sequence.